CUUAUACUCCCUCCGUCCUAAAAGUCUUGUCUUAGACUUGUUUACAUACGAGUAUAUCUAGUCAAGUUUUAGUAUUUAAAUACAUUUAAUUCUAGAGAAAGCUAAGACAAGAACUUUAAAACGGAGGAAGUAUGAA
rnacentral:pre_miRNA from 1 species